GAUGAACGCUGGCGGCGUGCCUAAUACAUGCAAGUCGAGCGAACAGAUGAGGAGCUUGCUCCUCUGACGUUAGCGGCGGACGGGUGAGUAACACGUGGAUAACCUACCUAUAAGACUGGGAUAACUUCGGGAAACCGGAGCUAAUACCGGAUAAUAUAUUGAACCGCAUGGUUCAAUAGUGAAAGACGGUUUUGCUGUCACUUAUAGAUGGAUCCGCGCCGCAUUAGCUAGUUGGUAAGGUAACGGCUUACCAAGGCAACGCUGCGUAGCCGACCUGUGAGGGUGAUCGGCCACACUGGAACUGAGACACGCUCCAGACUCCUACGGGAGGCAGCAGUAGGGAAUCUUCCGCAAUGGGCGAAAGCCUGACGGAGCAACGCCGCGUGAGUGAUGAAGGUCUUCGGAUCGUAAAACUCUGUUAUUAGGGAAGAACAAAUGUGUAAGUAACUAUGCACGUCUUGACGGUACCUAAUCAGAAAGCCACGGCUAACUACGUG
rnacentral:rRNA from 1 species